rnacentral:lncRNA from 1 species
AGAUUUGACCUAGGAACUCCCGUCUCUAGGCCUGGCUCUUAUCCACUGAGCUACCCAGCUGCCCCCCAAAACACACUUUAAAUGGAUGAGGGGAAUGAUAUUUGAGCAUAAAGUCAAUUGGCUUUAUUCAUUGGAGUGUAAUUAGGGUAGUAAGUUCAGAAGUGUACUUUGGGAAAAACACUUUGGUGGUGGAGUGGAGUGGGGGCAGACAAGAUCUAACACCUGACUGGACAUGUAGGAGUGGAGGACACCACCAAAGUUGUCCAUCUAGGUGACUGAAGGUUCGGCAGACCAUGGGCAAUAUACUUGGGCAACUUGGGAGAGGCUAGGUUUGUGGGGAAAGAUAAUGUCAUGAGAUGUAGGAUGUGUGGCAACCCAUUCAUGCCUGCUAACUCAGCCAGGAGGUGACCUGGAGGACAGUGAGUAUGUCAGAGGGCCAGGGUAUUUUCCCAAUGACAUCUGUGCAGCAGCUGGGAGUGCCCAGGGGGAAGUUAGAAGCUUAUGCAGCAUAGGGAAUUGGGGGAAUGUGGGAAGAUAAGGGUUGGCCCCACUCUCCCCCUUCUGGGAUGAAAGCCAUCUUUCCAACCUCUGGUUGAUCAUAUAGCCCCAGUCAGCCCCUGGCCUCCCAGUUGGUACACAGUUGGUAUAAAUGACCACUGGAAAAUUAAAGCAGCUUUCCACUGACUAUCCUCACGACUCACUUCCUCCUCCCCUGACGAAUGGUAACAACCUAUUUUUUUUUCCUUUUUGGCAGCCAAGGAAGGAGUAUUCAACCAUCUAACCUAAAUAAAUUUCCCUCCACGUGCCAGGCACUGAAGAGACAAGUAAAAGCAAACAGAAGAAAUAAUGCCUAUGGUCAAACAUUCUAACUUCUCCAAAACAGAGGGGGAUACUACAGUCUCCUGUAAUCAUACCUGUGUCUCGUUCCAGAAAUUAAAUAUCAUUUUCACAGAUAAAAUGCUACUGGUUUCUGAUGAAGAGCUCUUUGAAAGUGCUGAGGAUUUUGGUGUCAAACAUUUUCUUUUCUGGACCUCCACAGAGGUAAGCUGGCCCCAGCCAAGGAUCGCCAAGACCUUCCCUACUUUGGAGUUGCUUCCAUUUGGGGCCAGACUUCCUAGCAGCCCAGUCCAGAUCCCUGGGGCGAGCAUUGACGUCAGGCAUGGUAAGAACCUUCACUUCCUGCUCUGCUCUGUGGCUUGGCUUGGGAGCCUCAUCUAAUUCAUGUUUCCCCAGUGGGCCAUUCCCAGGCUGUCUCAUGCUGAAGGGCAAAGGGGUGUGUGUGUGUGUUGGGGGGGAGGGUCUGAGUGGGAGCGUACCGUUACUCUCCUGCCUCCCAAACCUACUUCUUUAGGAAAGGGUCCACAAGGCAAGGCUUCUGAUUUUCAGGUUAAAUCUUGCCAAGGAAGUGUGGAAGGUGUCCCCGUCUGGCCCCAGGAGGCAUGAACUAUCAGGGCCAGGUGAGCUAUCUGUUUUCUCUCCUCCCACCCAGCUGCUAAUGGGAAGCCCCUUUAGGAGAGGACUCGAGCUUCUUUACAAUUCUUUACAAUCUGAGACAGUCAUGGCCUAACACCCUAGAGGCAGGCAAGGUUUUUCUCCUUACGUGCUAGUCCGAUACAAGACUUGGAGCCCCAUGAGAGAGAGAGAAAGUAAACACCCUUGGGUCAGUGUCACAUCCAGGCCUGACGGGAAGGCAUUUGGACCUGGGCCUCCUCCCUCAGGGGUGCUCGCUCCAACCAUGAUCUCUGUCCCUGACUCAGAGAUGAGUGUUCUUGUACUUUGAGAAUGUCCAACCAUUGAGAACUUUGACUUCCAUUUCUGGGU